rnacentral:rRNA from 1 species
GCUGGAAUCGCUAGUAAUCGCGGAUCAGAAUGCCGCGGUGAAUACGUUCCCGGGUCUCGUACACACCGCCCGUCACACCAUGGGAGUCGGAAAUGCCCGAAGUCUGUGACCCAACCAUUAAGGAGGGAGCAGCCGAAGGCAGGUCGGAUGACUGGGGUGAAGUCGUAACAAGGUAUC